UCUUAUAUACAUUCCUACAACAUUAAUGCACUUGAUCCCAUCAAAACUUUGUAGUUAAGAACACUUGAGAUACAUUAGUACUGGAAUGGAUGACCUCCCAAGAAGUCCUCGUUUUUAUAUGCA
rnacentral:rRNA from 1 species